rnacentral:rRNA from 1 species
GUAACAAGGUCUCCGUAGGUGAACCUGCGGAGGGAUCAUUACACAAAUAUGAAGGCGGGCUGGAACCUCUCGGGGUUACAGCCUUGCUGAAUUAUUCACCCUUGUCUUUUGCGUACUUCUUGUUUCCUUGGUGGGUUCGCCCACCACUAGGACAAACAUAAACCUUUUGUAAUUGCAAUCAGCGUCAGUAACAAAUUAAUAAUUACAACUUUCAACAACGGAUCUCUUGGUUCUGGCAUCGAUGAAGAACGCAGCGAAAUGCGAUAAGUAGUGUGAAUUGCAGAAUUCAGUGAAUCAUCGAAUCUUUGAACGCACAUUGCGCCCUUUGGUAUUCCAAAGGGCAUGCCUGUUCGAGCGUCAUUUGUACCCUCAAGCUUUGCUUGGUGUUGGGCGUCUUGUCUCUAGCUUUGCUGGAGACUCGCCUUAAAGUAAUUGGCAGCCGGCCUACUGGUUUCGGAGCGCAGCACAAGUCGCACUCUCUAUCAGCAAAGGUCUAGCAUCCAUUAAGCCUUUUUUUCAACUUUUGACCCUCGGAU